GGGGCCGACUGGUUUUGACAGCAUAGGGCAGGGUAAGUAAGCAUGUCGUGCGUUGGAUAAUUAGCACGUAAAUCUGAAUAUUCAACUUUUAAAUGGCGAAUCUAACUUUGCCAUGGCUGCCUAAUUAAAUUAGCGCAACCAUUAUGGCCGCGGCUGGCUUUGGCCUGUUGACGCUACCGCCGCCUAACUCAACCAUCAAUAGGAUAGUCUCGUAGUGCUGCGCCUGCGGGGCGAAACUAAAGCAGAUAGGGAAAUUGUAGGUUCGUCCUGCUCCGGCAACUUUCCGAAAUCAAAUGCAGGAAUACACAUGUAGAAAGCUUAUCGGGCAUAUGUUUGGACGCGGGUUCGAAUCCCGCCGGUUCCACAA
rnacentral:tmRNA from 1 species